CCGACGGAAGGUGGCGCUUGAAGACAGCAACCUUCCCGGCACCACAUAUUUCCCAUAGAAAUGUGGAAUGUAAGAAAGGCACAUAAAGCAAUCCAAGUUGCCUGCAGAUAUCCACAGCCUACUUCAGUCUCAGUAAUGCUCUUUUAACCUGGCUAUAUGGAGAGUUGACAGAAAAUACAGGAUCAUCAAUCAAUGAUACAGUAAAUACAGAAUUCCUCACAGAUGAUGAAUGUUGUCCUUCAGCGUCUGUGGUCACUUCCACCUUUAACUAAAGUUGGAGUUGGAAGAAAGGCAAUGUGACUCCAAACUUCACAGUACCUCCAUCUUAGACAAACACGAC
rnacentral:lncRNA from 1 species